UACGGAGGGUGCGAGCGUUGUCCGGAAUCAUUGGGCGUAAAGGGCGCGUAGGCGGUUUUGUAAGUCCCGCGUGAAAUCCCCCGGCUCAACUGGGGAACUGCGCGGGAAACUGCAAGGCUUGAGUUCGGGAGAGGGAAGCGGAAUUCCGGGUGUAGCGGUGAAAUGCGUAGAUAUCCGGAGGAACACCGGUGGCGAAGGCGGCUUCCUGGACCGACACUGACGCUGAGGCGCGAAAGCUAGGGGAGCAAACGGG
rnacentral:rRNA from 1 species